UCGUAAGAUGGUAACUUCGAUAGAAGU
rnacentral:sRNA from 1 species